rnacentral:rRNA from 1 species
UACGUAGGGUGCGAGCGUUGUCCGGAAUUAUUGGGCGUAAAGAGCUUGUAGGCGGUUUGUCGCGUCUGCUGUGAAAAUCCGGGGCUCAACCCCGGACUUGCAGUGGGUACGGGCAGACUAGAGUGUGGUAGGGGAGAUUGGAAUUCCUGGUGUAGCGGUGGAAUGCGCAGAUAUCAGGAGGAACACCGAUGGCGAAGGCAGAUCUCUGGGCCGUAACUGACGCUGAGGAGCGAAAGCGUGGGGAGCGAACAGG